rnacentral:rRNA from 1 species
CCUACGGGGGGCAGCAGUAGGGAAUCUUCGUCAAUGGGCGCAAGCCUGAACGAGCAAUGCCGCGUGAACGAGGAAGGUCUUCGGAUCGUAAAGUUCUGUUGAAGGGGAAAAAGAGCGGAGAGAGGAAAUGGUCUCCGAUUGAUAUUACCCUUCGAGGAAGUCACGGCUAACUACGUGCCAGCAGCCGCGGUAAUACGUAGGUGGCGAGCGUUAUCCGGAAUGAUUGGGCGUAAAGGGUGCGUAGGCGGCCUGCUAAGUCUGGAGUGAAAGGUACCGGCUCAACCGGUACAGGCUCUGGAAACUGGCGGGCUAGAGAGCAGGAGAGGGCGGUGGAACUCCAUGUGUAGCGGUAAAAUGCGUAGAUAUAGGGAAGAACACCAGUGGCGAAGGCGGCCGCCUGGCCUGUGACUGACGCUGAGGCACGAAAGCGUGGGGAGCAAAUAGGAUUAGAUACCCUGGUAGUC